rnacentral:SRP_RNA from 1 species
UCUGGGUUCAGCGGUGUGUGCCUGUAGUCCCAGCUACUUGGGAGGCUGAGGCUGGAGGAUCUCUUGAGUACAGGAGUUCUGGGCUGUAGUGCACUAUGCCAAUCCGGUGUCCGCACUAAGUUCAGCAUCAAUAUGGUGACCUCCUGGGAGCGGGGGACCACCAGGUUGCCUAAGGAGGGGUGAACCGGCCCAGGUUGGAAACAGAGCAGGUCAGAACUCCCAUGCUGAUGAGUAGUGGGAUCGCACCUGUGAAUAGCCACCGCACUCCAGCCUGGGCAACAUAGCGAGACCCCCCCCAC